GAAAUGCGAUAAGUAAUGUGAAUUGCAUAAUUCAGUGAAUCAUCGAAUCUUUGAACGCACAUUGCGCCCGCCAGCACUCUGGCGGGCAUGCCUGUUCGAGCGUCAUUUCAACCCUCAGAACCCCUUGCGGGAUCUGGCGUUGGGGAUUGGCAUCCAGCCAGCCCCGAAAUCUAGUGGCGGUCCCUCCGCGACCGCCCCUGUGCAGUAGCGAUACCUCGCAGCGGGACAGCGGUCUGACCACGCCGUAAAACCCCCAACUUCUCAAGGUUGACCUCGAAUCAGGUAGGAAUACCCGCUGAACUUAAGC
rnacentral:misc_RNA from 1 species